UACAAAUCAGCGCGCUGAGUGAAAGAGCCAGUACUGCACAGAACUUUUUCUUAAGACGUACAAAAGAAAAGAACAACAGAAAAAUAGAUAUGACCAAGACGGGGAAGCCAGACUCAUACUGGAGAGACAUCUGCCAAAAGUAUGCCCAGGGCAGCUACCAGUUUUCCACAGGCAAAAGGCCCGGUGGUAAGAAAUGGAAAAGAGCCCUGGAGUGUAUAGAUGCUUGCCCGCUGCAGAGCAAGAGUAAGGUGGAUCUGUUCGGGAGACACCUAAAAUGCUCUUGUGGGUUCCAUAAGUCAGAUGCAUCAGAGGCAGGUGGAGGCUCCUAUGAGGCAGGUGGAGGCUCCAGGCAGGCAGGUGGAGGCUCCAGGCAGGCAGGAGAAGGCUUUUGUGAGGCAGGUGAAGGCUCCAGUCAGGCAGGAGAAGGCUCCAGUCAGGCAGGAGAAGGCUCCAGUCAGGCAGGAGAAGGCUCCAGUCAGGCAGGUGGAGGCUCCUAUGAGGCAGGUGGAGGCUCAAGGCAGGCAGGCGGAGGCACCAGUGCAGACAGAACAGUAAAGUGCUGUCAGUGCAAUCAGGUUGUGAAGGCAGAAAAAUUCUCCAUGCACCUUUCUGACCGCCAUGUAGAGGAGACAUGUGACACCUGUGGGGCCAAGGUCCAAGGUUCUGUU